rnacentral:rRNA from 1 species
AUUGAACGCUGGCGGCAUGCCUUACACAUGCAAGUCGAACGGCAGCGCGGGAGCAAUCCUGGCGGCGAGUGGCGAACGGGUGAGUAAUAUAUCGGAACGUGCCCAGUAGUGGGGGAUAGCCCGGCGAAAGCCGGAUUAAUACCGCAUGAGACCUGAGGGUGAAAGCGGGGGAUCGCAAGACCUCGCGCUAUUGGAGCGGCCGAUGUCAGAUUAGCUAGUUGGUGGGGUAAAGGCUCACCAAGGCGACGAUCUGUAGCGGGUCUGAGAGGAUGAUCCGCCACACUGGGACUGAGACACGGCCCAGACUCCUACGGGAGGCAGCAGUGGGGAAUUUUGGACAAUGGGGGCAACCCUGAUCCAGCCAUGCCGCGUGAGUGAAGAAGGC